UGCCGGCGAUGGUUCAUUCAAAUUUCUGCCCUAUCAACUUUCGAUGGUAGGAUAGUGGCCUACCACGGUUUCGAAAGGGGUAACGGGGAAUUAGGGUUCUAUUCCGGAGAGGGAGCCUGAGAAACGGCUACCACAUCCAAGGAAGGCAGCAGGCGCGCAAAUUACCCAAUCCCGACACAGGGAGGUAGUGACAAUAAAUACUGAUACAGGGCCCUUCCGGGUCUUGUGGGGUUGGAAUGAGUACAAUUUAAAUCCAUUAACGAGGAACAAUUGGAGGGCAAGUCUGGUGCCAGCAGCCGCGGUAAUUCCAGCUCCAAUAGCGUAUAUUAAAGUUGUUGCAGUUAAAAAGCUCGUAGUUGAACCUUGGGGUCUGGGCUACCGGUCCGCCCGUAAAGGGGGGUUGCACCUGAAAACCCGGGAUCUUUCCCUUCUGGGCUAACCUCAUUGGCCCUUUACU
rnacentral:rRNA from 1 species